GCGUCUGUAGCCUGGUUGCUUAAGGCAGCACUCUGGUAUGCGUCUUAGCAUUGCUGAGGUUGUGGGUUCAAGUCUCACCAGUCACA